rnacentral:lncRNA from 1 species
ACCAUUUUUCGAAAUUCAUUCCGAUUCUGAAAUAACAUACCAAUCAAUGUCUACACAGUCUCGUAAAUCCAUAUAUAUAUCAUUAGGAAUCAAAUCCAAGUCCAUUUACUAUGAUUUUCUCAUUUUCCAUCAAGCCAUUUUCUAAAGGAACUAUAUUUUUCAAUAACCAGUUUCGAUAUCCAACACUAUAUUUCAUCAAUUCC